AUUGAACGCUAGCGGGAUGCUUUACACAUGCAAGUCGAACGAGUGGCGGACGGGUGAGUAAUAUAUCGGAACGUGCCCAGUAGCGGGGGCUAACUACUCGAAAGAGUGGCUAAUAGCGCAUACUAUUGGAUCGGCCGAUAUCGGAUUAGCUAGGUGGUGGGGUAAAGGCUCACCAAGGCAACGAUCCGUAGCUGGGUUGAGAGGCCGACCAGCCACACUGGGACUGGGACACGGACCAGACUCCUACGGGAGGCAGCAGUGGGGAAUCUGGGGCAAUGGGGGAAACCCUGAGCCAGCCAUGCCGCGUGUAUGAGAAGGACUUCGGGUGGUAAAGUACUUUUGGCAGAGAAGCGGUAUCUGAAGAAUAAGCACCGGCUAACUACGUGCCAGCAGCCGCGGUAAUAC
rnacentral:rRNA from 1 species